UACGUAGGGGGGCAAGCGUUGUCCGGAAUCAUUGGGCGUAAAGCGCGUGUAGGCGGUUCGGUAAGUCUGCUGUGAAAGUCCAGGGCUCAACCCUGGGAUGCCGGUGGAUACUGUCGGGGCUAGAGUACGGAAGAGGCGAGUGGAAUUCCCCGGUGUAGCGGUGAAAUGCGCAGAUAUCGGGAGGAACACCGGUGGCGAAGGCGGCUAUCUGGACAGAAGUCUGACGCUGAGGCGCGAAAGCUAGGGGAGCAAACAGG
rnacentral:rRNA from 1 species